AGCGAACGUUAGCGGCAGGCCUAACACAUGCAAGUCGCACGAGAAUUGGUCUUCGGACCAUAGUAAAGUGGCGGACGGGUGAGUAACACGUGGAUAAUCUGCCCUUCGGCGGGGGACAACAGACCGAAAGGAUUGCUAAUACCGCAUACGUCAGCGAGGUCUUCGGACUUUGCUGGGAAAGAUGGCCUCUUCAUGAAAGCUAUCACCGAAGGAUGAGUCCGCGUCCCAUCAGCUAGUUGGCGGGGUAAUGGCCCACCAAGGCUUAGACGGGUAGCUGGUCUGAGAGGAUGAUCAGCCACACUGGAACUGAGACACGGUCCAGACUCCUACGGGAGGCAGCAGUGGGGAAUAUUGGGCAAUGGGCGCAAGCCUGACCCAGCCAUGCCGCGUGAGUGAUGAAGGCCUUCGGGUCGUAAAGCUCUGUGGGGAGGGAAGAAACACCUUGUGGCUAACAUCCACGAGGCUUGACGGUACCUCCUUAGCAAGCACCGGCUAACUCCGUGCCAGCAGCCGCAGUAACAC
rnacentral:rRNA from 1 species